CAGAUCCAGGUGAGCAGUGGGAGGAGACUCAAUGCCAGCAGCAGGCCGGUGCCAGAUGUGGCCGAUGGUUGUUAAUUUCGACUUCUUUCCCAUCCGUUGGACUUGGGGCAGUAGCAGGUGCGCCGGUCAGCUGGGAGUAACGCAGCUAGUGAUUACGCCAGCAGCCAGGCUUGGAGCAGUGUUGCCAGUGUCUACAGAGCAUCCAGUCAGCUGGUGUCCAGGAAUUUGCCAGGUUUCUUGCACACUGGGGAGCCAAUUGGGACCCGUUUUUGCUGCUGUGGGCGGUGUUUGUGCUGCAGAGUCUGGAACGCAGGAGGCGCCAACCAAGGCUGAAGUAGGUGCCAAUUUUUGGUGACAUCAGUGCAGCUCCAGCCAGCAGAUGUGGUGUUGCCGGAUACAUCUGUUGGGGAGAAGCUAGCUGCGGAGUUUGUGGCGAUGCCAUCCAACGGGACCAAAGGAGCAGUAGUGGGAGUAUCAGUUCCCGCAGUAAGCCAAGCAGUAGGAGCCAGUGGGGAGAAAAAAGCGCAGCAGAGUUGGUGUUUGCUGGCACAUCGGAGUCCAGUGUAGCGGAGUCGAUGAUGGCGUUAGUAGCCAGGCGUGGAGCAUCAUCAGGAGGAGAUAUCUCGGCUGCAAUCGAAUUUUGGGGUCCUAGAGCAUUGGAGCUGAUGUCAGCGUUGCCUGUCAGCUAAGAAGAAACUCAAUGACAGCAGCAGGCCCGUGCGCUUGUGGUCGCUGGUUUGUUAGUUUCGACUAUUUUUCCCAUCUGUUGGACUUGGGGCAGCAGCAGGUGCGCCGGUCAGCUGGUGAGUAUAAGAUUGCCGGUUUUUGUGUACGCUCCCACUUACAAUUUCAUCUCACACACCAGGAGGGAGUAGCGAAACCAGGCCAGUGCUCGCUGGUGCUUCUGGAGAACUCAGAGUGGUUUCGCCG